rnacentral:rRNA from 1 species
UACGUAGGGUGCAAGCGUUAAUCGGAAUUACUGGGCGUAAAGCGUGCGCAGGCGGUUUUGUAAGUCUGUCGUGAAAUCCCCGGGCUCAACCUGGGAAUUGCGAUGGAGACUGCAAGGCUAGAAUCUGGCAGAGGGGGGUAGAAUUCCACGUGUAGCAGUGAAAUGCGUAGAGAUGUGGAGGAACACCGAUGGCGAAGGCAGCCCCCUGGGUCAAGAUUGACGCUCAUGCACGAAAGCGUGGGGAGCCAAACAGG